CGCAACUCAUCACCCUCUCUCCCCAACACCAUACCACCACCUCCGUUAUCGAUCUCCUCCGUUCUGUCAUGGGUUGUGGCGCUUCAGUUUUGGGUCCUGAGCACCAUCCCAACAACCCCUUCCACUACAAAGUCGCCCGACCCAUCAACGUCGAGGAGCCUCCCAAAGCCUCUCCUUCGCCCCUCAACAACGACGCCGUUUUCUCCUUCCGCUUCAUGCCGGCCGACCAUGACGAGGUCGGAGUCAAAGAGGCCAAGCAACAUGGCCCCGCAAAGCCUCCGUCCGUUAACGUUCUUCCACCCACCGUUGAGAUUGAGAGGGAUGAUGCCUUCUCCGGCGCUGCGUCCCCCAGUUUCAGGGAAUAUUGCGUCCACUCCGGAUCUUCCAGUGAUAUAGAACACUCCCACGAUGACCCUGACAUGGCCGAAACCACCGACAACAUGGGUAAUGACGAUCCAAUAUUGGUGGGCAAGAGCAAGCCAUCGAGGAAGGAAAUCACCAACCCCAAAAAGGAGUCUGAGAAGAAAGAGAGAAAAGGGAGAAGACUUAGGGAUGUUAUAAACAAGGGAAGAUCAGGUGGGAAGAAAAUUGGCAUCGUUCGCCAUAGAUCUGACAACAUAGCCGGAAGACUCACUUGAGAAGAGAAAAUGUGAAGAGCAAGUCCUUAAUUCUCAUCCAUCUUGCGAGUGUCGUGGGACUAUAGAGGAAUCAGGAUUGCUUUUUAAAAUCCUGAAUAUUCUCAUAUGACAUAUCACAUACCAGUUAUGGGGGUCAGAAGAAAAGUUUAUAUACAUACAUGCUUAUUCACCUGAAUAUUCUCAUACGACAUUUAACAUACCAACAGUUAUCGAGAGAAUUACCAGACACACGUGCGUGAUCUAUAUUAUAUUCAGAACUGAUGAUACGCUAAAUUUAAACACAGCCUUAGCCUGCAAUUCGCACUUCUCUCUACGAACAAAGUUAAGGGCAGGAAUUGCACCGCUAUAUUCUGUCCAAUGCUUUCAGAAAAAGCUCCUGGUCACAUGCCAAACCUUCGUACACAUAUAUAAGCAGAUAGGUAUGUAUAGUAGUAGAGCAUAGACUGGACGGUAUCGAUAAGCCAGGCAUAUACAAGAUUAGUAGCGUACCUAGUCAAUCAGCUCUCUUUGUAUUUGAAUUGGGGCGUCGAAGCUUGCUCUACAAGAUUAUAA